GUGCAUUUUGCAUAAAUGGGGUCUUAUUUUGCUUUUACUUUCGUUUUAGCUUUUAUUUUGAAAUGCCUUUAUGCGCUUUGAUGUCACCAAGCGUUCAGCUCCAUGGAAAUUCUGCUGAAAUGACGAAUGUGUGGAUGACUUAACUGGCACUAGACCUUCAUACUGUAUGAUGAUGGGAGCUGAUUCUCUUUCAGAACAAAUGUUUACAAGAUGUUAAUCAGAAACUACAUGAUGCCGUUGACUUUAUUAUUUGCUAUAUAAGAUUCUGUAUUAAUUGAAUGUACUGUCAAAAGUAUAAAUAUUAAAUAAAAAAUUAAAGGACAAACCUGAACAAAUGAACAGAAAACUCAUCAUCCUACAGUACAAUGCUCUGUCACGUAUAAAAAUGCUGAGAAGAGCCACAUGACCUCAGUUUUGGAUAAUCAUGGUAAGAGGAAAAGAUCUCAGUGACUUUGAAAGAGGGUUCAUCAUUGGGGCACGGAUGGCAGGAGCUUCAGUCACAAAGAUCGCUCAGCUGGCUUGUGUGUCUAUAGGAACGGUGACUAAAGUGACCUCUGCCUUCAGGUCUAUGGGAAAGACCUCGGUAAACAGAGCUGGCAAUUGCGGGCGAAAGCGCAGAUUCAGUGAGCGUGACGCUCGUGCUCUUGUGCGCUAUGUGGAGAAAAACAAAACAGCGACGGUUAUUCAGGUGACGGAAAAUAUCAACGCAAGGCGUGAUCAGACCGUGUCCACGAGAACGGUCCGUCGACAGCUUCAAAGAGAGGGAUACAGCAGGGUCCCAGUGUUUAAAUCCCACAUUACAAACACAAAAAAAACAGAGGUCUACAGUGAUGCUGAAAAAAGGGAUCUGGUCUUAUGAGUCAACUUUGUUAUGGUUUGGGGCAUUUAUUUAUGUUGCUGGGAUGUUUUUGGUCUCCUAAGUAGGAAACACCACUGCAAAUACAUAUAAUGUUCUUCUUACUGAUCAUCAUCUUAUCAUCCUACCA